rnacentral:misc_RNA from 1 species
AAGUCGUAACAAGGUUUCCGUAGGUGAACCUGCGGAAGGAUCAUUAACACUUAUUUUAGUUGCCUUAUUACAACAAAAAAGCAAUAAUAGUGGCAUUAGAGAGAGGAGUGAGGACCUAUAGCAAUAUAGGACUUUGCUUUCUCUUUAUUUGCCCUAUUAUUGUUUUUUUAAGUCCCAAUAGCACAUUUGUGAAUAAUAAGGAGAAACAGGAAAAACCCUUAAAUAAGUUAAUUACAUGCUAAACAUAGAAGGAUUAAUUAUGGAAUGAAUAUGUAUAGUAUGUAAUUACUCAUUUGUUUAACCCCAUUGACCCAAUACACAAUAAAAACAAAAUUGGAUAAUAUUUCCUUUAAUUAAUGAAAUAAGAGAACAACUCUUAACAAUGGAUAUCUUGGUUCUCGC